GCGAUUUUGCCAAGGAUUGGAAGAAAAUUAUCGCAACAGCGCCAUUCGGAAACUGUCUUGUAUCCUUUCAGCUAUCUUGGCUAUUCCACAGUUAACUGUUUAUUUUUGUAUGUUGGAAAAAUGGAGGAAAUUCCGAAAAGAACAAGGAAACUAAUUUCGAUCGACAGUAAGUCUGACCGCGUUCUACUAGGAACUGGUGGAAUUGCCUCCGUAUGGAAAGGAAAGUUCAAUGGCCGUCCAGUCGCAGUAAACAAAUUUUUACUGCAAAAUUGGAAUGAAGAAAAAGAAGAAAAUGCUAUGAAACAAUUGGAUCAUCCAAACAUCGUGAAACUAUUUCAUUGUGAAAGUGACGAAGACUUCAGGUACUUCGCGUUGGAAUUGUGCGUCGCUUCGUUAGGUGAGCUGUUCUUAGAGUUGAAUAAACCCGAUAAAUACAACGGACCUAUGCCAUGUCUUAUUGAAGCUUUUCAACAAUUAGCUUCGGGACUCGAACACAUUCAUUCAAAGAAUUUUGUUCAUCGUGAUAUUAAUCCGCACAACAUCCUUAUUUCGGCCAUAUCUGCUACACAACCUUUUGCGGUGACACUCAAAUUUGCCGAUUUCGUAUUAUCCAAAUCCGUAAAUGAGAGGGGAACGUUCACGAUGAGUGGAAUACGAGGAGUCGCAAAUUAUUUUGCUCCCGAAAUAUUGAGACUAUGGACGACAGGCCAAAAGUGUCGAGGGGACGUCAAGAACGACAUCUUUGCACUUGUUCUCGUCUUUGGAUGUCUGUUCUUGGACGGGCAACAUCUUUACCGUUCUAAUGAGAGCGAAAUUCACAACAUAAUUGAAGGAAAUCCGAUCAACAUGCAAAAUUAUACGAGGAUGAACUACUUCAGAAAAUGUUGGAAGACGAUCCCACCAAAAGAAUGACGUCGACAGAAGUUGUCGAUCAACUAAAAUCCAUCAAGGAAAAGGCGGCGACAAAGCCGCUCUUGUAAAGCUUUUCAACUGGAUAGCUCCGGACUUAAUGGUUACAAAACUUCUUUACAGCAGCAAGGCAAAAUCAAGGAGCAAAUUUUCCGCGGCUACAAUUCGAGACAAAUUUCAACUGCCGAACAGAUGAAUUUCAGCAGGAAAGUCGCCAAUAGCAUCAACGAUCAAGGAGCAGCUGGUGCUCUUGAAUCAGGUCCCUCGAAACGCGUUCGUCAUUAUAGGCUUGAUUGCCUCAACUACAGGAAUCGUGGGGCUAGUGGCCAACGGGACAGUACUUUCCAUCUUUUCGAAGUGCUAAAAGGCGCAAUUGCGCCUUUACAAUUUGCGGAUUGUGUUUCAAAACACAAGUGCUCGGUAGACAAUGAAAUAAUCAAAAGAUUCUAACUUGUUGAUUUUUAAUUGCAGAUUCAAAAGGCUAUUAAGAUCUCAUCCAGCAAAUACGUUCAUCAUUAAAUUGCCUUUAAGCGAUAUGGCAGCAUCAGCUCUUCAUUCGAUGGCUUCCUAUUCAAAUUUUCAACAGAGAUAUUCCUAAAAAAUAUACCGAAAACAAGAGCACAAAAAUGGCGCACUCGACUCUACUAAACGACAAGGAAGACUGAGAACAAAAGUGACGCUUUGCUCAAACGUUGCCAAUUUGCGAAUUCGCGUAGUUGCCAUCUUUUAAAAUUUGUCUCCACCCCUUCUAUUUCGACAUAUCAUUUGUAUGAAUAUUACUACCCUCAAUUAGAAAU